UACGAAGGGGGCUAGCGUUGCUCGGAAUCACUGGGCGUAAAGGGUGCGUAGGCGGGUCUUUAAGUCAGGGGUGAAAUCCUGGAGCUCAACUCCAGAACUGCCUUUGAUACUGAGGAUCUUGAGUUCGGGAGAGGUGAGUGGAACUGCGAGUGUAGAGGUGAAAUUCGUAGAUAUUCGCAAGAACACCAGUGGCGAAGGCGGCUCACCUAGCCCGAUACUGACGCUGAGGCACGAAAGCGUGGGAGCAAACAGG
rnacentral:rRNA from 1 species